CUCCCAGAAGGCUGGUUAAAAUCCGGAACUAUAAAAGCUGAUGUGUGUGCGAGGGCCGCCCUUUCCGAGAGCCUGGCGAAGGCCCAUGUGCUGUGCUUUUCUUUCCUAAAAUGCAUGCAAAUAAAACAAAAGGAGAAAAUCUUUGGAAGCCGCCAUAACUGCGAACUCGUGGACUGACGAGAACAUUAACUAGUUAUGACUGACACCAUUACGAAGGGUCUGGCUGGGGGUUGGAGUUUUGUCCCAGGCUGUCAACCGGUGACAACUUGUGCUUGUGCUGCCCCGGGUCCAUAGCCCCUGGGAUGCAGCAGUGAAUCGUUGCUGGAUGUAUGGAGAUGUGAAUAAAUACAAUAAACUGUGUAA